rnacentral:lncRNA from 1 species
ACUCCUUCACCUCAGUCCCACUGUGCAUUUUCAAAACCUGGUGCAGAGUUGGCUGUCCUAGGUAAAAAGUUGAACUGAUCUGCACUAUAGUUGCUGGCUGACCCUGUGCCCACAGACAGCACACAUUGUGGAGCGACAGGAUUUUUCUGUGGUGGACUCCACUGUGUUUACAACUGAUUUGGGAUGAUGCGGUGCUGUAAAGAGCUACCAAUAAACUAGAAGUUUGGUCUAACGGGAGAAGAACAGAGAAAAAAAUCCCUUUCUCCUGGUGCAGGGAUACAUUCAGACUGGACUGCUUAUUUUUGGUUUGCUGCCAAUAUGUUCCUCGGAUAGGAGGGGGCUGGUUUAGAUGUAGUUUCCCUCUCAUAAAAGCUGCUACCCGCACUGCAAUGGUGGACAUGACUGUGAACUUUAAGAUUCAAGAAGGCUGUUCUAAAAGCUACUGGAAAGAGUGUGAAAAUGCUCUAAAACUACAACUGGCCAUCCCAAGUGCUAAUGAGAGAGCCACAAGGUGCUUCCCCACCAGAGAAGGCUGCUGUGUACCCUGCAGUCCCUCUAAGGACCUGACUGUUGGAGAAGAGGGAGUAGCCUAUCUACUUACGGAAGAAUUCCAGAAGGAUGGCUGUUUAUCCCUCCUGCUGUCACGUUCCAUCUUUCUAGCUUGUGGGCUUUUGCAAAGGAAGGUUAUCAGCAAUCUGCUGCAGAGUCCUUCCCACUCAGUAAAUCAAAGCCUUGCUCUUCUCCGGUUCAUUUCCAUGGACAGAUGA